rnacentral:misc_RNA from 1 species
GGGCACAGCUGCAGCAAUUACCGGAGUGGAGGCAGGGCCCAGGCAGCACUGCCCUCCAAGAUCUUCCCUUGGGCUUUUCAGCAGUAAGGGGACAUGCACCCCAAGGGCCUCCACUUGGCCUGACCUUGCUGCGGGGGCUCUCUGUCCCCAGGAACAGUAGAGAUGGCAAGCUUAUCGAGACCCUCUCUGCCCAGCUGCCUCUGCUCCUUCCUCCUCCUCCUCCUCCUCCAAGUGUCUUCCAGCUAUGCAGUUCAGAGUGAUAGGACCAAGACACCCUAUCCGGGCUCUGGUCGGGGAUGAAGUGGAAUUGCCAUGUCGCAUAUCUCCUGGGAAGAACGCUACAGGCAUGGAGGUGGGGUGGUACCGCCCCCCCUUCUCUAGGGUGGUUCAUCUCUACAGAAAUGGCAAGGACCAAGAUGGAGACCAGGCACCUGAAUAUCGGGGCCGGACAGAGCUGCUGAAAGAUGCUAUUGGUGAGGGAAAGGUGACUCUCAGGAUCCGGAAUGUAAGGUUCUCAGAUGAAGGAGGUUUCACCUGCUUCUUCCGAGAUCAUUCUUACCAAGAGGAGGCAGCAAUGGAAUUGAAAGUAGAAGAUCCUUUCUACUGGGUGAGCCCUGGAGUGCUGGUUCUCCUCGCGGUGCUGCCUGUGCUCCUCCUGCAGAUCACUGUUGGCCUCGUCUUCCUCUGCCUGCAGUACAGACUGAGAGGUAC